rnacentral:rRNA from 1 species
ACGGGAGGCAGCAGUGGGGGAUAUUGCACAAUGGGCGAAAGCCUGAUGCAGCAACGCCGCGUGAGGGAAGACGGUUUUCGGAUUGUAAACCUUUGUCUUUGGUGACGAAAAAAAUGACGGUAACCAAGGAGGAAGCCACGGCUAACUACGUGCCAGCAGCCGCGGUAAUACGUAGGGGGCAAGCGUUAUCCGGAUUUACUGGGUGUAAAGGGAGCGUAGACGGUUUGGCAAGUCUGAAGUGAAAUGCGGGGGCUCAACUCCUGAACUGCUUUGGAAACUGUCGAACUAGAGUGCAGGAGAGGUAAGUGGAAUUCCUAGUGUAGCGGUGAAAUGCGUAGAUAUUAGGAGGAACACCAGUGGCGAAGGCGGCUUACUGGACUGUAACUGACGUUGAGGCUCGAAAGCGUGGGGAGCAAACAGGAUUAGAUACCCUGGUA